rnacentral:lncRNA from 1 species
GCAAGGGAUUUUUAUCUUGACCUAAUGUGGAUUGUUGCUGUGCUUUGCCUAAAAGUUGUGGUGUUUCCAGAUUGAAUGAGAUUAUAUAUUACCAUCAUUCAUGAAUACAAUUAUCAGCUGCAAUUAAUCCUGCUCCUUCUGAGCAGUAUUGGGUGCUAUUUUUUCCCUCCUUGUGGGUAUUUGUGUCACUCUUACUUUGUGAACUUUAACCAGAAUUACUGUAGAAUGGAGGGAAAGCAAGUGUGUAUUCAGAAUAAGGCUUUAUAUGACUGACUUUAGGUGGGUCUUUCUGAGAGCCUAGAAUGAAACAUUUCACUGAAAUGCACAUCACUUGGAGAGAAAACAACUUAAUCUUCAUCUACAGAUAUAUAUCACUAAAUUAUGGAAGAAGUGUAAUACUGGAUAUUUCCUGCUGAAUCAAAGCAUAUGAUUCAUUAAAUUAAAACAUCAGCUCCUUGCACGUGACUUUCUUGGGACCCAAAUGUAGGUCAAGGAAGAUAUAGAGAAUUAGUUCUAGGGUUCCAAGAUCUAUCAAAAACAUCAAAUGGUAGUUCUCAGGCAAUUCCCCUAUGCGUGUGAUCAAUACAAUUUUAGACCUUCCAAAUUCCAAACCAUUGCAUCAAUUAUUAAGCAAUUAAGCUCAUUUGGAACCCUGAGAACUACUGUCUCCAAAAAUGGACCAAGAACACAGAUGGGGUUCCAGUUCUAUAAUCUUACUCACCACCCUUAUCUCACCAUCACCUAGGCAGGAUUAACUGAAGCCCUGUUAGUUCCUUUCUUAGAGGAAGAGGGUAGAUUUGCAAGGCUUGGAGUGAAUAGGUUAGGACCAGGACCGCAGUGACUCAAUUUCAAUGUACCAGUGUUCUAUAAGCCUUACCUGGUCAAUUGCAAAAACAGAAUUAUUGCAAUUACAGCUUUCUCUCAAGGAUGCACUAUGGCAAGGGAAAGAAAAACGAAAAAACUAGCUGGCAGCUGCUUUAGUUAUUUCCCAUCUGCGCUUCGCUCUCAUAACUGCCUUUCACUCCAGCCAGCUACUUGUAUCUCUAGCUCCUAAGUUAAAGGCUUGGCUAGAUGCUGAAGCAGGUACAAAGAUGAAUGAGAGGGAUACUGAAAUUGAAAGAAAUGAAGCGACAUGGCUUCAGCUGCGAAAGAUAAUGACAGGACUGACUAAUGAGAGGUGUUCAGUUAUUUGUUCAGUUGAACAGCCCUUCAAACUUGGGGGAAAUUGCAAAGAACAAUUCUUUGUGUGGAACAGAUUUGGAAUGCUGAUCCAUAGUCCUACAACUUCAUUUUGUGGAUAUGGAAAAUAUGGUCCAGAUAGUGUGGAUUUGCCCAGAACUAAACUAAACCUAGGUCACCUGGUACAGGCCGGUACUGCUUUUCCAGUAUGAGGUAGGAUUCAUAUUCCAUAGGCCAGCUGACCUCUACUGCUAUUUGGCUCAGUCUCGGAGAAGACCUCCCAUUUGUGUUGAGGAAGGAAAUUCUGUCUUAAUUUAACUCCUAGUGACAUGAAACAGAAUUUAGGAUUUAAAUUGGGUGGCAGUAGGGUCUGACAAUAUGUAAAGUCUCCUCUGAUGCUAAGAUUUUAGCCACAAAAUCUAUCAAUGCCAGAGGUGAAAGCGAUUCAUACUAAGCACACAUAAACUGGGGCAACUAUUCCUCCCUUAUCAAGAAGAUAAAAUGUUCAAUUCUACCCAAUUGUCUUUCUUGAAAUGUUCUAUUUCUUGUUUUUUCUUUUAUUUUGGCCAAGUUUGAAGCUUGUGGAAGUUCCUGGGCUGGGGAUCAAACCUGCGCCCAACCCACUGUAGUGACAACACUGGAUCCUUAACCUGCUCUGCCACAAGGGAACUCCAAUUUUUUUUUUUUUUUUUGCUUUUUAGGGCUGCACCUCCUGGGAACCUCCACAUGCCAUGGGAGCGGCCCAAGAAAUAGCAAAAAAAAAAAAAAAAAAGGAAUGAUACUUGAGACCAGUCAGAAGACAAAUGCCAAGAAGACAAAAGUCCAUGGAAAGAAGCUACAAACAUAAAGCACAAAAAGUCAGAAGCUUUAUAGUAUCAUAAACACCAUACCUUGAACUGACUGGAUGACUCACUAUUGAUAAACUGGUUAAUAAAGACAAUACUAAUCUUUCAAAGUGACAACUGCACUUUCUAAUAAAAGAGAGAAACAUCUUCCCUGGGUCCACACACUGGUUUUAGGGUGAUGCUUUUCAAUAUAUACAAGUUAUGGUGUUACUCCUUCUGGACUGAACUAUCAUGUCUUCUUCCAAUGGUUCUCCCUAGGUUUGGAGCUCACUUGCUCUGAGCCAGGCCUAUUAUUUCUUCUGGGUCUGUAUUUUCCAUCAAGUAGUGUGCAUUUGUAAGAUGGCUGUGGAUAGAGGUAUAAUGAAGCCUGUGGUCAUCAAGUAAAGGGAUGUUAGGUGGAUAAAUAACCUUGGAAGUAUGGCCUUGGCUUAAGGAACACUCUCCUCAUUCAGAAUAUGUGGAAUAGUUAACCCAUAUAUAACACAAUUUCAGUUAUCAGAAAGGCUUGGGCAUUUCUUCUCCUUCCCUCACUUAUACCUCUCUAAAUGAGCACACAAAAUUCUGUCUGAAUGUUAUUCUGUUAGUGUAAGGCCUUAGUCUCUGGUACAGUCCUCCUAGAGCACACAUCAGAUUGUCACUAAUCAUUGUUAGCUUCAUAUAAUUGGAGCGUCUGAGACACUUUUUACAAAGGGAAGAGGAGGAACAACAAUGAGGGUCCUAGGCCUCUAGUGCAGAUGAAGGGCCUACAACACAGAUGCUAGGUGGGGAUAGACAGCCUACUUCGCAAUUUUGUCUCAAGUGAAACUGUCCUAGAGGCAAGUAACAAUGUUUAUCAGACAAAUGAACAGAUAAUGCUGAUCCCGUUCAUUGGGUUUAGGAAGUGAAAGCUGGUGUCAAAUUACUAGAUGCUACAGGGGACACAGAAGGAACAGAAGACAUUCUUGUAGACUUUUUAAAUUUUUAUUUUUAUUGGGGUAUAGUUUAUUUGCAAAGUUGUGUUAAUUUCAAGUGUACAGAAAAAUGAAUCAGUUAUGCAUAUAUCCAUUAUUUCUCAGAUUCUUGUCCCAUAUAUGUUAUUACUGAAUAUUGAGUAGAGUUCUCUGUGCUAUACAGUAGGUCCUUGUUGAUAAUGAUCAUCUAUUUUUAUUUUUAAAUAUAGUAGUGUAUAUCUGUUAAUCCCAAACUCCUAAUUUAUCCCUCCCCUCCACCCUUCCCCACUGAUAACCAUAAGUUUGUUUUCUAAGUGUGAGUCUGUUUCUGUUCUGUAAAUAAGUUCAUUUGUAUUAUUUUUUAAAGAUUCCACAUGUGUUAUCAUAUGAUAUUUGUCCUUCUCUCUCUGACUUACUUUUUUUUACUCCUAAGUAUUUUUAUUAGCAUUUUUUAAUAGUUAUUUCACCAAUACGUUUUUUUUUUCUAUUGUACAGCAUGGUGACCCAGUUACACAUACAUGUACACAUUCUAUUUUCACACAUUAUCAUGCUCCAUCAUAAGUGACUAGACAUAGUUCCCAGUGCGACACAGCAGAAUUUCAUUGCUAAUCCAUUCCAGAGGCAAUAGUUUGGAUCUAUUAACCCCAGACUCCCAGUCCAUCCCACUCCCUCCCCCUCUCCCUUGGCAACCACAAGUCUAUUCUCCAAGUCCAUGAUUUUCUUUUCUGUGGAAAGGUUUGUUUGUGCCAUAUAUCAGAUUCCAGAUAUAAGUGAUAUCAUAUGGUAUUUGUCUUUGUCUUUCUGACUUCACUCAGGAUGAGAGUCUCUAGUUCCAACCUUGUUGCUGCAAAUGGCAUUAUUUCAUUCUUUUUUGUGGCUGAACGGUAUUCCAUUGUGUAUAUGUAGCACACCUGCCUCAUGCAAUCAUGGGUCGAUGGACAUUUAGGUUGUUUCCAUGUCUUGGCUAUUAUGAAUAGAGUUGCAAUGAACAUGCGGGUGCAUGUGUCUCUGACGUACUUUUAAAGCUACAAUGAGCUUCAGGAUUACAAGAGAAAGUGACAGGGCUCUAAUGAGAGGCACUCAUGAUUGUUUGGUUUGAAUAGAUUUUCAGUUUGAGGACAAAUAUGAUGAAAAUAGUGUUUUUGUCUCUUUGUAAUAUUGUUUUUCUAUGUGUAACUUUUCAACACUGUGCUUUUAAUGGAGUAUUUCCCUCCGAGUAUGUGCAGAUCCUUACCCAUCCUUUUGCAGAAACCUCUGCCUGUUAUCUUAAAUAAACUUAGCCUUUUGAUACUAUAUCCUCCUUGGAAAGAACCCUUGCACAAUUCCUAAAUUCAUUUUUGAAAAAAUAACUGUACAUAAUAUUUUAAUCAUUUAGCUUUUGUCAGCAAGGGCUUUGUAUUACCUUGCAAAGUGAUUCUUAUCUUUUCUAUAGACAUAUUUUUGGUCUUGGUUUUGGUUUUUUCAAACUAUUUUAAGAGCAGGUGAGUCUCAAGAGUAAACAAUGAAUUGCAUAUUUGAAUGGAUUCCCUGAAAGUUAGGGAACAUUCUAUUAACCCAGAAAUGUCAGUCUGAAGUAGUGCAAAUAGACGUUUUCCCAAAAAUAGCACUUGGCACCUUGGAAGUGUGUGCAUUUCAGCCUAUUUUAUUACUUACCUAGGUGCAAGAGUUUUACUUUCAUUAUAGGAUAGAUUUUGACUCUUUUGCAUUCCUGAUAUGGGGGUAAUGGAUUGUGUAUUUUUAUUUUUGUUUUUUUACCUUUUUUUGGCUGCUCUGUGGCAUAUAGAGUUCCCCGGCCAGGAUCAGACAGGGCCACAGUUGCGAUCUAUACCGCAGCUGCAGCAGCACCGGAUCCUUAACCCAGUGUGCCUGGCCUGGGAUGGAACCUGUGUCCUGGCGUUUCAGAGGUGCUGCUGAUCCUGUUGCACCACAGCAGGAACUCCAGAUUGUAUAUAUAUUUAAGAUACAGUUUCGCUUUUUAUUUUUUUUUAACCACACUUUUAAUUUGCUAGUUAGAUCCACGAGGGAACUAUCUGUUGUCUUUUACAUCUUAAAGUUUAUAUUAGAAAGUUUAAUGAGAGAGAAAGAAUGUCACUGUGGUAAUUGGCCAUUUUCCCUGCCUUAUUAGCAUUCCAGAGCUAAGCUUCUUUAUAUAGCAAUGUUCAGCAAAAGCAGUUGUGCUGCUUCAUCUUUGAUUCACCUAUUCUUACAUUUUCAUAAAUGUUUUGAGGACCUUCACCAACUGGGCUUACCAAAGACUUGAGAGCUGCAGUUUGACAUUUGCUGCCUGGCAUGGGCCAGAGGAAGGGUGAACUAAAAAGAAAUUAACAAAAACAAUCAGAUAAUUCUGGAGAAUUCAGAAUUAAAAAGGGUUUAUGAUACUGGAUAAGACCUAGCUCCAAAGUGACUUUUGACCAUAGCAUUUUAAUUAUUUUUUUAAAAAAAACUCUCUCAAAUUAUUUACAACUCCAUAGUAGAGAGAAGUCAUCCUCCAGCUGAGAUGAGUGAGACAUAAGCAGGAGAGGGAGGUGGAAACCUGAAGGAAGAGUCUUGAAUGGGAGUUAGGGGUAAGAAAUUUACUUGAAAAUUACAACAUAUGGUUAAGGACUUGGGCUUUGUCUUCAAACCUUAGUUCUGCCCUUUACUAGUUGUGUAACUUUGGACAAUUUUCUUAAACUCUGUGAGCCUGCCUCUUCACAUGUAAAAGUGGUAUAAUAAUUCAGUUUCAUACUGUUCUUGUGAGACUCAAAAGAGAUGAUGUAUGUAAAGCAUUUUGUGAAGUGCCUGGCACAUAGUAAAUAUUCAAAAAUGGAGAAUGUGUCAAUAUUUAAUUAUCAGUGUUU